rnacentral:rRNA from 1 species
UGAAACAUCUCAGUAGCUCGAGGAAAAGACAUCAACCGAGAUUCCGAAAGUAGUGGCGAGCGAAAUCGGAAGAGCCUUCUAGUGAUAGCACGACUGUUAGCAAAACGGAAUGGAAAGUCCGGCCAUAGCAGGUGAUAGCCCUGUAUGCGAAAACAGACGUGUGGUACUAAGUUAGAGAAAAGUAGGGCGGGACACGAGAAAUCCUGUCUGAAUAUGGGGGGACCAUCCUCCAAGGCUAAAUACUCCUAGCUGACCGAUAGUGAACUAGUACCGUGAGGGAAAGGCGAAAAGAACCCCGGUGAGGGGAGUGAAAUAGAUCCUGAAACCGCGUACGUACAAGCAGUCGGAGCCCUUCGGGGUGACGGCGUACCUUUUGUAUAAUGGGUCAGCGAGUUAUUGUCUGUAGCAAGGUUAACCGUCUAGGGGAGCCGUAGGGAAACCGAGUCUUAAUAGGGCGCUUAGUUGCAGGUAAUAGACCCGAAACCGGACGAUCUAGCCAUGGCCAGGUUGAAGGUGCCGUAACAGGCACUGGAGGACCGAACCCACCUAUGUUGAAAAAUGGGGGGAUGAGCUGUGGCUCGGAGUGAAAGGCUAAUCAAGUCCGGAGAUAGCUGGUUCUCCCCGAAAUCUAUUUAGGUAGAGCCUCGUGAAUAACUGCUGGGGGUAAAGCACUGUUUCGGCUAGGGGGUCAUCCCGACUUACCAAACCGAUGCAAACUCUGAAUACCAGUAAGUUCAAUCACGGGAGACAGACAGCGGGUGCUAACGUCCGUUGUCAAGAGGGCAACAACCCAGACCACCAGCUAAGGUCCCUAAUAUCAGUUCAGUGGGAAACGAUGUGGGAAGGCUUAGACAGCUAGGAGGUUGGCUUAGAAGCAGCCACCCUUUAAAGAAAGCGUAAUAGCUCACUAGUCGAGUCGGCCUGCGCGGAAGAUAUACCGGGGCUAAACUGAUAACCGAAGCUGUGGGAGCACACUUGUGUGCUCGGUAGAGGAGCGUUCUGUAAGCGGUUGAAGGUGUGUUGUAAAGCAUGCUGGACGUAUCAGAAGUGCGAAUGCUGACAUGAGUAACGAUAAGAGGGGUGAAAAACCCCUCCGCCGAAAGAUCAAGGUUUCCUGUCCAACGUUAAUCGGGACAGGGUGAGUCGGCCCCUAAGGCGAGGGCGAAAGCCGUAGUCGAUGGGAAAUCGGUUAAAAUUCCGAUACCGAUUUUUACUGCGAUGGAGUGACGGAGAAGGCUAGGCUAGCACGGCGAUGGUUGUCCGUGUUCAAGCGUGUAGGUAGGGGGAUUAGGUAAAUCCGGUCCCUCGUUAAUCUGAGACGUGAUAACGAUCUCCUGGGGAAACCCUCGAGAGAAGUAGUCGAUGCCAUACUUCCAGGAAAAACUUCUAAGCUUCAGGUAAAAAUCGACCGUACUGUAAACCGACACAGGUGAUCAGGUAGAGAAUACCAAGGCGCUUGAGAGAACUUGGGUGAAGGAACUAGGCAAAAUGGUACCGUAACUUCGGGAGAAGGUACGCUCCCUUUGGUGAAGCACUUGCUGCGUAAGCUGAGGGGAGUCGAAGUGACCAGGUGGCUGCAACUGUUUAUUAAAAACAUAGCACUCUGCAAACUCGCGAGAGGAAGUAUAGGGUGUGACGCCUGCCCGGUGCCGGAAGGUUAAAUGAUGGGGUUAGCUUCGGCGAAGCUCUUGAUUGAAGCCCCGGUAAACGGCGGCCGUAACAAUAACGGUCCUAAGGUAGCGAAAUUCCUUGUCGGGUAAGUUCCGACCCGCACGAAAGGCGUAAUGAUUUGGAUACUGUCUCGGAGAGGGACUCGGUGAAAUAGACUUGUCUGUGAAGAUGCGGACUACCUGCACCAGGACAGAAAGACCCUAUGAAGCUUUACUGUAACUUGAAAUUGAAAUUGGACUUUAUUCGCGCAGUAUAGGUGGGAGGCAUUGAAAAUAAUCUUGCGGGAAUAUUGGAGCCAUCAGUGAGAUACCACUCUUGUAAUGUUAGAUUUCUAACUUUGAAUCAUUAUCUGGUCAAAGAACAGUUUCAGGCGGGCAGUUUGACUGGGGCGGUCGCCUCCCAAAUGGUAACGGAG